rnacentral:lncRNA from 1 species
AUUUAUGGUAUCUUAACUACGCUGAAGGUGUUGUAAACAUCAAACAGGUCCGACCCGGCUUCCAUUUGGACAGAAAUGUGAUCGCCUACUGCCAGAUCGACGUUGAUAGUUUGGGAUGUCAUGUUAUAAUCUUUGUCAGUGUAUAGCCACACCAAAACUUGUGUAUCCUUCCUUAGAGUAAAGUGAAAGGGUUUAAAGCCGACAUCAUGGACACAGACAGUGCGUAAACAUUAGUUUCAUCUCCGGUUCAAGUUACUGGUACAGUAAAAAUAUCCGUAGCGGGAUUAUAUCCGCUAUCUGCGGGAUUUUCAACGACCACUUUGUAUUGACUUUACUUAAUACACCCACUGUUUGUUUACCCAAAGGUGAUGUAAUUGUAAAUAAAGCU